UACGUAGGGGGCAAGCGUUGUCCGGAUUUAUUGGGCGUAAAGAGCGUGUAGGCGGCCAGGUAGUCUGGUGUGAAACUCGAGGCUUAACCUCGAGAUGUCAUCGGAAACCAUCUGGCUAGAGUCCGGAAGAGGAGAGUGGAAUUCCUGGUGUAGCGGUGAAAUGCGCAGAUAUCGGGAAGAACACCCGUGGCGAAGGCGGUUCUACUGGGACGGUACUGACGGCUGAGACGCGAAAGCGUGGGGAGCGAACAGGAUUGAAGAUACCGGGGUAGUCCAAGACCG
rnacentral:rRNA from 1 species